rnacentral:lncRNA from 1 species
CUACCUUAUAUUUCUUUUUUAACUUUCAUGGAAUCCUCUUUGCCUUCCUCCCAAAUCUUGGAUUCUGAUGGAAAUGCUGAGAGGAAAAAUGAAGCUAAAAAUUACAAUGAAGUGAUGUCCACCCUUCCAAAAGUUAAAGGCUUGAGGGGGGAUGAUUAUUACCUGUACCAAGGCUUUUGGUACGCUCCCUUCUUCUUGGAAAGACUCAUGUCUGUUCAAGAGCACUUCCAUCCUCAAUCCACUGAUAUAUUUGUCGCCAGUUUUCCAAAAACUGGCACAACUUGGCUUAAGGCCCUCACUUUUGCUAUUUUCACACGAUCCCGUUUAAGUGGUUCAACAACUAGUUCUUUACUUUCCAAGAUGCCACAUGACUGUGUUCCUUUUUUGAAUUAUAACCUUGCUCAAAACCCCAGUAAUCGGGACUUGACAAUUCCUCUGCUAUCUACUCAUGUUCCUUACAGUUGUUUACCUAAAUCUAUCAUUUCUUCUUGUUGCAAGAUUAUUUACAUUUGCAGGGACGCAAAGGAUGCUUUUGUUUCUUUGUGGUACUUUCAUGCCACGUUGCAAAGGUCGAAAAAUGUUGAGCCUCUUCCUCUGGAAGAGGCUUUUGAGCUGUUCUGCAAUGGAAUUGCAAAUUUUGGACCCUACUGGAACCAUGUUUUAGGGUACUGGAGAGCAAGCUUGGAGUUCCCCGAGAAGAUACUGUUCUUGACAUAUGAGGAAAUGAAGAAAGACACCGCUGCUCAUGUUAAGAAAUUAGCUGAGUUCAUGGGUUGUUCUUUCACCCUAGAGGAAGAGGAGGAAGGGGAGGUGCAAAAGAUAAUAGGCAUGUGUAGUUUUGAGAAGUUGAGCAACUUGGAGGUGAAUAAAAAUGGGAAGUGCCUUCUAGACAUAUCAAUUCCUAUUCCAAAUAGUAUAUUCUUCAGGAAAGGUGAGAUAGGCGACUGGGCAAAUCACUUGACACCUGAAAUGGGAGCACGUCUAGAUGACAUAAUGGAGCGGAAGCUCAAGGGUUCAGGCUUGAAGCUGCCCAGGUGACUGUGCCUGGGCCCCGUUUGCUUAUUAUUAUUGGCUUAGUGGGUUCGUCAAAAGCUGUUAUCAACAUCUCGUGAAACAGCAACCGUGUAUCCCAAUAAAUACCCUCUCUGUUCAUCUCUUGUAUUUCCUAGCAAGUAUUCACAUUUUGUGAAUCAUCCAUGUCAAUAAGCAAUAUUCUUUUGUGAAUCUGUGUUUGUAACUUUCAUUGAUUUCCUUGCAAGUUUGUAAGAAUUAAAAAUGGGAUUCGUUUUUUAUUUAUUUAUUUAACACAAGUGCAUGCAUUCCAUUAAUCAGUGAUAAAAAAAAAUAAAAUUACUCUACUAUAUAAUAUUAGAGUGUUUUCUUCACAGAAAUUGCAGUGUGUUUUCUUCACACUGCAAUACAUGUUUUAAAAGAACCGAGACAACCAUACAUGAGGGCGGAGCAAAUACCAACCGAGACAACCAUCCAUUAAGAUUGUUGAAUUGAAGAUCAAAUGAACAUAGGCGGCACAUCUGCUGAAAGGAUCUCGAAAUGCCUUGUAAUUGGUUAAAAUAAAGAUCAAGAUCUGUAGGAGAACUCGUGUUUUCCACUCCUAAAAUAAGCCCAGUUGCCGGCUUCAUGUGCAACAGAGGCACAUAGAGAAUCUCCCCCCCCCCCCCUCCAGGCUCAGAUCACAAAUCUUCUUACUUCAAACCAAUCUUUUGGAACCGAUAUAUAUGUCGAGUGAUGGCUUGAUUUAUACCGGAGAUUGUGUUGGAAAAUUAAAGAAGCAUGGCUUAAUUUGUACCUUGGAUGCGCAAAUUGAUUACAGGAAAAUAUCAAAAAAAAAUUUCCUUUCUUUAUAACUUAUGAAGAGUAAAAUAAAAAAAAAGUUAAUAGUAAAACAAAAUAACCCCAAGUGUACAUUAUCAAUGCAAAACUAGAUUUUUCCUUAUUUUAUAUCCCUUUCUUUUGAUAUACUUCUUCUUUUAUGCCCCUUUCUUUUGGUAUAUCUCUUCUUUGUAUCUUUUGGUGUUAAUCACUUUGUUGAAUGCCUCUGUUGAUAUCUUUUAUAACUCACUACAGUGAUUUGAACAUUGAAAAUGUUUCCUUUUAAAAAAAAAAAAUAGAGAAGGCAUUUUGAUUUCAUCUUCAAUUUUUCUGCAUGUCUUCUUCUUUCAAAGUAUUGGGUUUAAAACACAAUCAUGCUCUACAUCAUGCUUUGAGUUUUCCAGGUUAUUUUCAGAAAGAUUUGAUAUAUUUGACCUGAAAGAAAAAAAGGAUGUACAAAGCUUUGCAUUUCUGGAACGUCUUUUCAUCAUGCUCUACAUGAUUCAAUCACAUUGCUCACAUCUACAUGAGUAACCAGAAAAGCAAGUAUUUCAUCGGAUUCUACAUGAUUCGAUCACUUCGCUCACAGCUUUAUGAGUCUCUGGUGAUAUCGUGUUUAAUUAAAUAGAAUAUUUAUUAUAAGAAACAGAUUUAUCAAAUAUAAUUGAGUAUAUGCCUCAUCAUAUCAAAUAUUUUAAUUAGAUGUAACUAUCUAGGUGGUGGUUCAGUGGUAAAAGUUUGGGACCAAGAUGUUUGUUCCCUCUGUGGUCUCAGGUUCGAGCCCUGUGGUUGCUCAUAUGAUGGUCAUUGGAGGCUUACAUGGUCGUUAACUUCAGGGCCCGUGGGAUUAGUCAAGGUGCACGCAAGCUGAUCCGGACAUCCAUGUUAAACUAAAAAAAUAUAUAUAUUUUAAUUAGAUGCGUGUGUACAAGUAUUUUAAUUUAUGAUUAAGAAUUUUUUUAUAUCAAAAAAAAAUUAAAAAGUCUGUAUAUUUAUUUUUCCUUGUUAAAACAAUUAUCUGAAAUAGCCAGUAAUCAACUAACUAUGAAAGAUAAGAUUGAGAAUUGAGAAGUUUAUUUGUCAGCAGACAGUAGCUUCAGUAGAUGGAAAAAGACUCUCUAGAUCACCGGAUCAAUUCCCACCUUCAUGAACUAUUUUUUAUUAGUACAGAAAGCUUCAUAUCAGUCAAAACUCUCUCUCUCUCUCUCUCUCUCUCUCUCUCUCUCUAAAUGGAUCAGAGACUACACAAAUAUAGAGGUGGAGCUUCACAUUAAGCUUCAGAUCAAUUUUCUAUUUUAAAAUCUCAUAAGUUUGGUCCAUUGAUUGCCCUAGAUUGCCCUAGAUUUUCCUGUGUUUUAUAUCCUUUUCUUUUGACAUUUUUUUUAAUCUUUUUCCAGGCCAAAAUCCUAAUUUAAUGUUUGAAAUUGAGAUGAUAAUUAUUUAACUAGAAAAUAUAUUAAAAUAAUAUUUUUUAUUUUUAAAAAUUUAUUUUAAUCAUCACCACAUUAAAACAAUCUAAAAUUAUAUAAAAAAAUUAAAAUAAUAAGAUUUAAAAAUAUUUUUUAAACACAAAAACAAACACAAUCAUCACUCAUAUAUCAUGAGAUUUGCAUUUAGACAUUAAAAUUCAAGAAGAAAUUAAGUUCACCGUACUAUUAAUUCAGUCGAUGAAGGAUUAGUCCCAACUACUUUAGGCCACCAUUAAUUACUUUAUUUAAAUGUAUACUUCUUUAUUAAUUCAGUCGAUGAAGGAUUAGUCCCAACUACUUUGGGCAUUUUAACUCCAUCUUCAAUUACUUUAUUUAAAGGUAUCCUUCUUUCUUAGAUAUUGAAUUUUGAAAACACAAUCAUGCUAAAGAUUUGUCAACGAAUUGUUUUUUAAAAUAAAAAAAUAUUUUAAAAAAUAAUUAAUACCAUACUACCGAGCAAAUGAAGUUAUGUGGAGGGUUCCGCACCAUUUAAAGGUUGUAAAGAAAGGUUUAAAACACAAUGACGAUAAAGAUUUGCUAUCGAAUAUAAUAUGAAAUAAUAAUACCCAAUUGCAUCAGCGGACAUGUGAUCAACAAUAUUAAAAUUCUGUAAAUUUUGAUUUAAUUCAAUUAUUGGAAUUCCAGGCAGCGUGGCAAUGUCAGAAAAUCUUGGACGAUGGUGACUAAAUGUUUGUAAAUGGAGACGGCACGUUCGCGGAAGGUAAUAGUCGAUGGUGCCAAAAAUUAAAUCAGCUCUCAACUCGUUACAAAUAGCUGCCAUGGCCUUUCAUUCUACAUUAUUUUUUCUUUUUUCACAUUCAUGGAAUCCUCUUUGCCUUCCACCCAAAUCUUGGAUUCUGGUGAAAGUGCUGAGAGGAAAAAUGAAGCUAAAAAUUACAAUGAAGUCAUGUCCACCCUUCCAAAAGUAAAAGGCUUGAAUGGGUGUGAUUAUUACCUGUACCAAUGCUUUUGGUACGAUCCCUCCUUCUUGGAAGGAAUCAUGUCUGUUCAAGAGCGCUUCAAUCCUCAAUCCACUGAUAUAUUUCUCGCCAGUUUUCCAAAAACUGGCACAACUUGGCUUAAGGCCCUCACUUUUGCUAUUUGUACACGAUCCCGUUUAAGUGGUUCAACAACUAGUUCUUUACUUUCCAAGAUGCCACAUGACUGUGUUCCUUUUAUGGAAUAUGACCUUGCUCAGAACCCAAGUAAUCGGGACUUGGCAAUUCCUCUGGUAUCUACUCAUGUUCCUUACACUUGUUUACCUAAAUCUAUCAUUUCUUCUUGUUGCAAGAUUAUUUACAUUUGCAGGGACGCAAAGGAUGUUUUUGUUUCUUUGUGGUACUUUCUUGCCAGGCUGCAAAUGUCUGAAAAUGUUGAGCCUCUUCUUCUGGAAGAGGCUUUUGAGUUGUUUUGCAAUGGAAUUGCAAAUUUUGGACCCUACUGGAACCAUGUUUUAGGGUACUGGAGAGCAAGCUUGGAGUUCCCCGAGAAGAUACUGUUCUUGACAUAUGAGGAAAUGAAGAAAGACACCGCUGCUCAUGUUAAGAAAUUAGCUGAGUUCAUGGGUUGUUCUUUCACCCUAGAGGAAGAGGAGGAAGGGGAGGUGCAAAAGAUAAUAGGCAUGUGUAGUUUUGAGAAGUUGAGCAACUUGGAGGUGAAUAAAAAUGGGAAGUGCCUUCUAGACAUAUCAAUUCCUAUUCCAAAUAGUAUAUACUUCAGGAAAGGUGAGAUAGGCGACUGGGCAAAUCACUUGACACCUGAAAUGGGAGCACGUCUAGAUGACAUAAUGGAGCGGAAGCUCAAGGGUUCAGGCUUGAAGCUGCCCAGGUGACUGCGCCUGGGUCCCAUUUGCUUCUGAUUAUUGCCGAAGUGGGUUCAUCAAAAGCUGUUAUCAACAUCUCGUGAAACAGCAACUGUGUAUCCCAAUAAAUACCCUCUCUGUUCAUCUCUUGUAUUUCCUAGCAAGUAUUCACAUUUUGUGAAUAAUCCAUGUGAAUAAGCAAUGUUCUUUUGUGAAUCUGUGUUUGUAACUUUCAUUGAUUUCCUUGCAAGUUUGUAAGAAUUAAAAAUGGGAUUCGUUUUUUAUUUAUUUAUUUAACACAAGUGCAUGCAUUCCAUUAAUCAGUGAUAAAAAAAAAAAAAUUACUCUACUAUAUAAUAUUAGAGUGUUUUCUUCACAGAAAUUGCAGUGUGUUUUCUUCCCACUGCAAUACAUGUUUUAAAAGAACCGAGACAACCAUACAUGAGGGCGGAGCAAAUACCAACCGAGACAACCAUCCAUUAAGAUUGUUGAAUUGAAGAUCAAAUGAACAUAGGCGGCACAUCUGCUGAAAGGAUCUCGAAAUGCCUUGUAAUUGGUUAAAAUAAAGAUCAAGAUCUGUAGGAGAACUCGUGUUUUCCACUCCUAAAAUAAGCCCAGUUGCCGGCUUCAUGUGCAACAGAGGCACAUAGAGAAUCUGAAAGCAGUUUUUAUGCACUAUCAGCAGAAUAAUUUGAUCAGUCAGAAUGAUCCCCCCCCCACUAGGCUCAGAUCACAAUUCUUCUUACUUCAAACAAAUCUUUUGGAACCGAUAUGUGGAGGGAUGGCUUGAUUUAUACCGGAGAUUUUGUUGGAAAAUUAAAGAAGCAUGGCUUAAUUUGUACCUUGGAUGCGCAAAUUGAUUACAGGGAAAAAAAUGACAGAAAGUGAGUUGCAGGGAAUGAAAAAGGCAUUAGUAAACUCAACAGCUUGCAGGGCAUCGUUCCUUGGUUUACUCCGUUUUAUUUCUUAUUUUGUUUUUCCUGCCAUUGUCUUAUGUUUGUCUAACUCGCAGUCUGGUCUCUGCAGAGAAUGAGAAAGCACAGACUCUUUAAGAGAAGAUAUUCUCCGGCAAUGGCAUCAAACAGAAAAGUCCGACGUUAACUAAAUGAGUUCAUGGGUCUCUUGUCUGAAUAUAGAAGUGCAGAAACUAAGCUUGACCAAAAACCCCCAUGCUACCAACUACAACUCAACAAGCAACAAAUCAAAUGAAUUGUGAUCCGCCAGUAAACAGCGAAUGGACACUGCCCCAGCAAUAGAUCAUACAAGCUCUGACCAACCGGUCAAAGAUCACGAGGACCCUACCCACUGCCCACUGACUGACAAUUCAUCAAAUAGAUUUAUUGCCGUUCACCACCUUAUUUAGAUGUAUUUUUAAAUAAUAUCCGUGAACUCAAAAAAAAAUCACUCAAAUAUCUCCCUAGAAAACUGACCUUGAACUCUUAACUAGGAGAAAAACAAAGAGGAAAAAUAGAGCUUAUAACAUAGGAAACUACGCUGAAAACUGAGGUGAAAAAAAGUGUAAGAAAUUCUGUAAAAAUGUCCAGAAACACUUUUUAUCACUUUUUACAGAGGAUUUUGAAACCUAAACCAAUGUAGAUUUACUUUUAGUAAUUAUUAAAAAUUAAUUUUUAUCAUUAUCAAUCUUAAUUAUCCGUUAUAAAUUAAAAUUAACCUUAACCCUUUUAGCUUUAAAUAUAAUGCUUUGUUAGAAUUAUAAAAACCAUUCAAAUUGAAAAAAAUUGCUUAGGCUGAAAAAAGUGUUCAGACUCUAUAUUCAUUGACAGUACAAACUGAUGGAUUAGAAAGAAAAAAAAUAUAUAGGCCAAAAAAUUAUAAAUCCAAACCCAAGUUUAAAAUAUAUUGAUAAAAAUUAAUUAUUUAUAGUUUACAAUAAAAUCAGACUUGGGACAAGCAAGCCAAUUAAGCAUGGGACUUCAACUCAAAGUUUACUUUACUUAGGUUUUUUUUUUUAAUCUGAGUGUAUUUUAAUCCAAUUUUAAUUCUUUAUAUUUUUAAUAUAUAAUUAACAAUAAAAAUGUUGUUUUUUUUACGUGAAAUAAAGGUUUUGAAUUUCACAAAGAUAUAUUCAUCAACAAAAUUAAAUUUUUAUUUAUUUAUAAUUUAUUUUAAUUAUUUUAAUAUUUUAUGUUAAAGAGAUUUGGUUGGAGAAUAAGUUUCAAUAAAAUUUAAAUCCGAAAAAUAAGUAGAUUUUAUUUUUAAUUUUAUUUCAAAUAUAUUUAUUUUUUAUGUUUUAAAACAAAUUUUAUCUCAUCUAUGUAUGUAUAAAUAUAUAAUCACAAUUCUCAAUACAGCACUUAUAGUUAGUUAUCGAACGAAAGAAUGUUAUCUCUUUCAGUAUGCCACAGAUAUUCAAAACACGGCGGUCACCCUUAUUAGCUUGCAGUCGUCUAUCGAAGUAUUAUCGCCAAAUCCACAGAAGCAAGGCAAACCACAGUUUUCUCUAGUUAUAGGACUAGACGGUACUGCGCUAGACUGCAGGUUUACAAUAUUUUUUCGAUAAAAUAUUUAAAUCAUGAGAAAAUCAUGCAUGAUUAAAAGAGUAAAAUUCAAAUUAAAAAUAUCAAUACAUGACAAAAUAAAAUUAAAAAAAAUUAAAUAAAAUUUUUAUAAAAAAACUAGAAUAAAAGAGAGGACUGAAACCGAAAAAGUUUAAACAAAAAGGACAUACCUGCAAUUUGAGGGGGGGAGGGAGGAGGAGAAAAAAAAAGGUUCAUCAACAACGAACUGCUCGACCUUCACCUACAUGUAUCGCACCAUGAGAAAGAGGAAGCAGUGAUGCUUCCAACAACACAAUAAAAUGUUUAUUUUUACAACUAGAGGUAUUGCAUGCUAUACUUGAAGUGCUAGCUUUUUAAAUUUUAAUAUUAUUUAUUUUUUUGUUAAAAGAUUACAAUGCGCAAACUAAAAAGAAAAACAAUAUAAAAAGAUAAAGUAUAACCUUGACCUAAAGCUUUUCUUUUUCUUUUUACUUCAAGGAUAUUUAAGUAAGUUUAGUGUACAUUCAAAAGCAUUUAAUGAAAUACCCUUCGACCAAGGUUUUUUUUUUUUUUAAAGUAUAAGACACUUAACAAAAUAAUAAAUAACAAAAAUUAAAAACUUAAAAAGACAAAAAAUACCCUUCGACCAAGGUUUUUUUUUUUUACUCCAAAGCAUUUAAUGAAUCUCGCCCAUAACGACAGCAAGUCUUUAAAAAGUGGAUUUCCUGAUGAAACCUGGAUAGUAUCAGUGCCAGCUCGAGCUCAGAAUGCGGCAUCUAUUGAUUAACUUACCAGUUACCAACACAAGGAGACACACACAACAACUUUAAAAAGGGCAUUAUAUAGCUAAACAUUGAUUAUUAUUUUUAUUUCAUUUUUAAUAUUAUAUUAAUUUUAAAUAUAUAUAUUUUUAAUUUCUCCAUUCAAUAACAAGUUGAAAUUCAUAAUUUUAUUUAAUUCAUUUCUUAUAAUAAUUUUUUUCCCAUCGUUUAAUUAAAUAAAAUAUUUAUUAUAAAAAAUAAAAUUAUUAAACAUAAUUGAGUAUAUGGCUUGUAUUUUUAGGUUAAAUAUUGUAAUUAGAUGUGGGUAUAAGCAUUUUAAUUUAUAAUUAAAAAGAAAAACUAUAUCCAAAAAAGAAUUUAAAAAACCUGUAUAUUUAUUUUUCAAUUAUCUAACCUGCAGCAGUGAAGUGCAAUUGAAAUAGCUAGUAAUCUAACUAAAAAAUUUAAGAUAAGAUUAAGAAAUGAGAAGUUUAUUUGUCAGCAGACAGUAGCUUCAGUAAAUAGAAAAUAUAGACUGUACUGCUGCUGAUCCCGGGAUCAAUGCCCACCUUCAUGGAUUAUAUAUAUAUAUAUAUAUAUAUAUAUAUUCAAUGUGAGAUAUUAAGUCAUUUAGUACAUACUAGUUAGAUGACUUGUGCGGUGCUGCGAGUUAAUUUUUUUUGCAUAAAAAUAUAUAAAAAAACUAAAAUCUAAAAGUAUUAGGUCUUUUUGCAAAGUUAUACCCAAGAAUCUUGGGUUUGGCUGCAACGCCUGACCCAAGAGUAAUAUUUAUAAUAUUAAUUAUAACAUUAAACUUGCAUGACUCAAGUUUAAAUGAGUCUAGAUGCAAUACCAUACCCAAUAGUCUUGGAUGUGGGUCUGGCUGCAAGGUCGUGUAAUAAAAGUGUGAUAAUUAAAUAGAUUAAUUAAAAAUAAAAAAAACAAAGAAAAAAACAAACAUGAAGAAAAAAACUAAUGAAGAAAAAGAAAAAAAAUUUGAAUUAACUGGGUUAACCCUUCAAACCAGGUUAAUCCGUCAAACCUUGGAUUCGUGUCGUGAAAGUUUGAUAACUAAAUAAAAAAAAAAUGAACAUUAACAAACUAAAUUAAAUGAAAAAAAUAAUUAAAAAAAAAAGCAUCAGCCUUUUCACUGUGGACUGCACUGUGCAGUCCACAGUCAAAUGCAUAAAAACAACAAAAAAGCAAAAAGAAAAACUAAAGGCAUCAAUCGAUAACUAAAUAGAAAAAAAAUUUAAUAUUGAUGAACUAAAUUAAAUAAAAAAAAUUAAAUAAAAAGAAGAAAAAACUUAUAAGAAGAAAAAAACUAAUGAAGAAAAAGAAAAAAAAUCUAAAUUAACUGGGUUAACCCGUCAAACCUGAGAUCCGUGUCAUGAAAGUCUGACAACUAAAUAAAAAAAAUUUAAUAUCAAUAAACUAAAUAAAAAAAUUAAUUUAAAAAAAAGGCAUCAGCCUUUUCACCGUGGAUUGCACUGUGCAGUCCAUAGUGAAAGGCAUGAAAAUAAAAAAAACAAAAAAAAACUAAAGGCAUCAGCCUUUUCACUGUGGACUGCAUAGAAUAUUAAAAGAUGAAAUCGGAAGAACAAAACUAAUGAGGAAAAAGAAAAAAAAAAUCUGAAUCAACUAGGUUAAUCCGUCAAAUCAAGUUAACCCGUCAAACUUGAAAGUGUGAUAACUAAAUAGAAAAAAGAUUUAAUAUUAAUGAAAUAAAUUAAAAAAAGAUUAAUUAAAAAGGAAAAAAGCAAAGAGAAAAAAGACCAACAGGAAGAAAAAAACCUAAUGAAGAAAAAGGAAAAAAAUCUGAAUUAAGUGGGUUAACUGGUCAAACCUGGGAUUCGUGUCAUGAAAAUCUGAUAAUUAAACAGAAAAAAUUUAAUAUUAAGAAACUAAAUUAAAAAAAGACUAAUUAAAAAAAGACAAAAAAAAACUAAAGGCAUCAGCUUUUUCACUCUUAAAAAGGAAAAGAGAGAAAAAUAAAAACAAAAGCAAACGCCACGGGUUAAUUUUUUUUUUCUUGCAUAAAAAAUAUUAAAAAAAACUAAGAUCUAAGAGUAUUAGGUCUUUCUGCAAAGAUAUGCCCAAGAGCCUUUGGUUUAGUUGCAACGCUUGACCCAAGAGUAAUAUUUAUAAUAAUAAUAAUAAUAAUAAACUUACAUGACUCAAGUUUAAGUGAGUCUGGCUGCAAGGUCGUGUCAUAAAAGUGUGAUGAUUAAAUAUAUUAAUUAAAAAGAAAAAAACCAACAUGAAGAAAAAAACUAAUGAAGAAAAAGAAAAAAAUAUGAAUUAACUGGAUUAACCCUUCAAACCAGGUUAACCCGUCAAACCUGAGAUUCAUGUUAUGAAAGUUUGAUAACUAAAUAGAAAACAAAAUUGACGGGUUAACCUGUCAAGCCUGGGAUACGUGUCAUGAAAGUCUGAUAAUUAAAUAGAAAGAAAUUUAACAUUAACAAAAUAAACUAAACGAAAAAAAAUUAAUUUAAAAGAAAAAAAGUAAAAAAAAAAUUCUAGGUUAACUCAUCAAACCAAAUUAACCCAUCAAAUCCGGGAUCCGUGUCAUGAAAGUCUGAUAACUAAAUAAAAAAAAUAACAUUAACAAACUAAAUUAAACAAAAAAAAUUCAUAAAAGAAAAAAAAACACAGAAAAAAAACAAAAAAAACAUAAAGGCAAAAAAAACAAAAACAAAAUUAAGUGAGAAUUACUGAUGUGCUUUGCCAAGCUUUGCAACAGAAAUCUCAAGACAUUUUAAAUGCUAUGCAUUUGCUGACUACCAUAAAGACUUUAAUUCAGAAGUUAAGAGAUGAUGGAUUGGAAACUCUUUUAGAACAAGUGACAUCAUUUUGUAAGCAUAAAAACAUUGAAGUUCCUGAUAUGGAUGCUUGUUUUUCUAGUGUGGGACGAUCUCGCUGUAAAACAAAAUCAAUAACAGUUGAGCAUCACUAUCGAGUUGAUAUAUUUAUAGCUAUCAUUGAUCAAUAGUUGCAAGAGCUAAAUAAUAGAUUCUAUGAGCAGGCGAUCGAGCUUCUUAAGUUGAGCAUAGCUUUAGAUCCUAAAAAUAACUAUAAAUUAUUCAGUGUUGAAGAUAUAUGCUAACUUGUUGACAAGUUCUAUCCUGAAGACUUUUCUGACCAAGAAAAAACUCAUUUGAGAUUUCAGUUGCAGCAUUAUGAGCUUGAUGUACCCAAUCAUCCAAAGUUAAAGAAUAUGUCAUCGAUUGCUGAUUUAUGUCAAGGACUGGUUGAAAUAGAAAAAUCAACAAUUUAUCUACUCAUUGAUAAGUUGAUUCGACUUAUUUUGACUCUUCCUGUUUCGACAGCAACUACUGCACGAGCUUUUUCAGCGAUGAAGAUUGUUAAAACAAGACUUCGCAAUCGGAUGGAGGAUGAUUUUCUUGCAAAUUAUUUGAUUGUCUAUAUAGAAAAAGAAAUUGCUGAAAGAUUCACAAUUGAUAUGAUAAUCGAUGAUUUCUACUCCAUGAAAGAAAGACAAAAACAAUUAAAAUAAAUAUGUAAGAAUCAUUCUUUAUUACUUUUUAUUUUAUUUAAAAGUUUUAUCAAACAUAAAUAAUGUAUCGCUUUAGCUAAUGUUUCUUAUAUAUUUUGUAUGUUUAUAUUUGAUAGGUACAAAAACCAACAAAAUUAAAGUGAUGAAUACAUUAUGAAGAUGAAAUUAACUUCAUAGCUUUGACUUAAUUUGAUAUUUGCUUUAAACAUCUUAUCUUAUACAAAAAUCAUAAUAUGUUUGUAAUUACUUUUUUGAAUAAAACUAAAUCAUGUCGUUUUUGUUUUUGUUUUUAUUUUUAUUUUUAUGUAAAGUAAAUUUUUAAAUAAAUUAUAUCUUUUAUUAUUUUAACCCCCAUUCAAAUAAUCCCAGCCCCUGACCGCAAUAACAAUCAAAAUAAAAUCUAAUUCUACCGGCUGCUAAGAAUACUAAAAUAGUGUAAAUUUUGACUUAAUUCAAUUAUUAGAAUUCGGGGCAGAUAACAGUGUUGAAGAAAAUGUCAGAAAAGUAGGGUAAACAGUACAAAUACCUUGGAUGAUGGUGACUAACGCCGUUUGUUUACGCGGGCGCGGGUGCGGUUGCCUUUUAAUUAAUAAAUAUCGGUAGUUGGAGACUUCUUGUUCUCGAAAAGAAAUAGUUAAUAGUGCCAAUAAUUAAUCUGCUCUCAACUUGCUACAAGCUGUCAUUACUCAUUACCAAAAUAUUAAAGAAACAAAUAUUUCCUAUUAGUAGAAAAGCGAUCUAAUAAAGCGAUUGUUCAGUUGACGUUAUUGAAUUGCUUUUUUAUAAAAAGUUAAUUUUUAAAUAUUUAUAGAUUAUUUUAUAUAUAAAUUUAAAAAAAAUCUUAAAAAAUUUAAAAAUAUAUUUUAAUAUAAUUAAAAAAAACAUUUGAAAAACAAUUAAUAGUAUAGUCUCAGGUCUCAACCACCCAAAAUAUACAUUUGAAAAACAUUUUAUAUACCUUGGAUUAAAUUGUGUUGUAGGUUCCACACCAUUUAAAGCUUGCAAAGAAGGAUUUAAAACACAAUCACGCUAAAGAUUUGCAAUCCAAUAUAAUAUGAAAUAAAACCCCAUUGCAUCACCGGACAUGUGAUCAAUAAUAUUAAAAUACUGUAAAUUUUGAUUUAAUUCAAUUAUUAGAGCUUGAGGCAGCGUGACAAUGUGAAAGAAAAUGUCAGAAAAUCUUGGAUGAUGGUGACCAUAUCAGUAAUUUGAGACAGCAAGUUCUCGAAAGGUAAUAGUUGAUGGUACCAAAAAUUAAACCAGCUCUCAACUCGCUACAAAUAGCUGCCAUGGCCUUUCGUUCUACAUUAUAUUUCUUUUUUUACUUUCAUGGAAUCCUCUUUGCCUUCCACCCCAAUCUUGGAUUCUGGUGAAAGUGCAGAGAGGAAAAAUGAAGCAAAAAAUUACAAUGAAGUAAUGUACACCCUUCCAAAAGUUAAAGGCUUGAGGGGGAAUGAUUAUUACCUGUACCAAGGCUUUUGGUACUCUUCCUUCUUCUUGGAAGGACUCAUGUCUGUUCAAGAGCACUUCAAUCCUCAAUCCACUGAUAUAUUUCUCACCAGUUCUCCAAAAACUGGCACAACUUGGCUUAAGGCCCUCGCUUUUGCUAUUCUUACACGAUCCCGUUUAAGUGGUUCAACAACUAGUUCUUUACUUACCAAGAUGCCACAUGACUGUGUUCCUUUUUUGGAAUAUCACCUUGCUCAAAACCCAAGUAAUCGGGACUUGGCAAUUCCCCUGCUAUCUACUCAUGUUCCUUACAGUUGUUUACCUAAAUCUAUCAUUUCUUCUAGUUGCAAGAUUAUUUACAUUUGCAGGGACGCAAAGGAUGCUUUUGUUUCUUUGUGGUGCUUUUUUCCGCGCAUCAAAUGUCGAAAAAUGUUGAACCUCUUCCUCUGGAAGAGGCCUUUGAGAUGUUUUGCAACGGAAUUUCAGUCUUGGGACCAUAUUGGGACCAUGUUUUAGGGUAUUGGAGAGCAAGAUUUGAGUUCCCUGAGAAGAUAUUGUUCUUGACAUACGAGGAAAUGAAGAUAGACACCGCUGCUCAUGUUAAGAAACUAGCUGAGUUCAUGGGUUGUUCUUUCACCUUCGAGGAAGAGGAGGAAGGGGAGGUGCAAAAGAUAAUAAGCAUGUGUAGUUUUGAGAAGUUGAGCAACUUUGAGGUGAAUAAAAAUGGGAAGCACCGUCCCGUCCGGACACAUCAAUUGCUAUUCAAAAUAGUUUAUACUUUAGGAAAGGUGAGAUAGGCGACUGGGCAAAUCACUUGACACCUGAGAUGGGAGCGCGUCUAGAUGACAUAAUGGAGCGGAAGCUCAAGGGUUCAGGCUUGAAGCUGCCCAGGUGACCGUGCCUGGGGUCCCAUUUGCAUAUGAUUAUUGCCGAAGUGGGUUCAUCAAAAGGUGUUAUCAGGAUGUCGUGAAACAGCAACUGUGUAUCCCAAUAAAUACCCUCUCUGUUCAUAGCAAGUAUUCACAUUUUGUGAAUCUUCCAUGUCAAUAAGCAAUAUUCUUUUGUGAAUCUGUGUUUGUGACUUUCAUUGAUUUCCUUGCAUGUUUGUAAGAAUUCAAAAUGGGAUUCGUUUUUUUUUUUUAUUUAACACAAGUGCAUGCAUUCCAUUCAUCAGUUUGAUAAAAAAUAAAUUUACUCUAAUAUAUAAUAUUAGAGUGUUUUCUUCACAGAAAUUGCAGUGUGUUUUUCUUCACAGCUAUACAUGUUUGAAAAGAACCGAGACAACCAUACAUGAGGGUGGAGCAAAGACCAACCGAGACAACCAUCCAUUAAGAUUGUUGAAUUGCAGAUCAAAUGAACGUAGGCGGCACAUCUACUGAAAGGAUCUCGAAAUGCCUUGUAAUUGGUUAAAAUAAAAGAUCAAGAUCUGUAGGAGAACUCGUGUUUUCCACUCCUAAAAUAAGCCCAGUUGCCGGCUUCAUUUGCAACAGAGACACAUAAAGAAUCUGAAAGCAGUUCUUAUGCACUAUCAGCAAAAUAAUUUGACCAGUCAGAAUGAUUUUUUUCCCCCUUACUAGGCUCAGAUCACAAUCCUUCUUACUUCAAACAAAUCUUUUGGAACCGAUAUGUCGAGGGAUGGCUUGAUUUAUACCGGAGAUUUUGAUGGAAACUUAAAGAAGCGUGGCUUAAUUAUACCUUGGAUGCGCAAAUUGAUUACAGGGAAAAAAUGACAGAAAGUGAGUUGCAGGGAAUGAAAAAGGCAUUUGUAAACUCAACACCUUUCAGGGCAUCGUUCCUUGGUUUACUCCCUUUUAUUUCUUAUUUUGUUUUUCCUGCCAUUGUCUAAGUUUUUCUAACUCGCAGUCUGGUCUCUGCAGAGAAUGAGACAGCAAAAACGCUUUAAGAGAAGAUAUUCUCCGGCAACGGCAUCAAACAGAAAAGUCUGACAUCAACUAAGUGCGUGUUUGACACUCCGGUUAUGUUUACAUAAAAAACAUCGUUGUCAUGUGUUUGGUUACAGUCUAAACAUAAUUUUCUGUUUGUGAGACCCGUUAUCAUUUGCUUUUAAACCGCAAGAUAACCAAAAGCAACUUCAAGCUGCCUUUUGUGUUGAGUUGCAAACUUUAUAAACAAAGGCCACAAGAAAAAGAGCAGAAACAUAGCAGUGAAUAGUAAACAGUGGAGAGUAGCUCCCUCUCACCACCGGCAUCCACCGUUUCCACCGCCAGCCACUGCUCUUCCUCUUCCCCUUCUCCUUCUCCUUUAUCUUCUGCAUUGUCCACUGUUCACGUUGCAUGUGAACAGUGGAGAGCAGCUCACCACCGGCCUCCGCUGUUUCCACCGCCAGCCACUACUCUUCCUCUUUCCCUUCCCCUUCUUCUUCUUCUUCUACAUUUUCCACUGUUCACAUGAACAGUGGAGAGCAUCUCCACUAUUCAUGGCCGGAUUGGGUCUGACCCAAACCUAAAUGCAUUGGACUGGGUCCGACCAAGUAAAAUAAAAAAAUCUAAAAACAUUUCUUAGAUAUUGUGUUUUAUUUGAAAAACUAGUGUUUAAAAUUAUUCAAUGACACUAUAUAAUUAUAUUAGAAGGAGAUCGCAUGAUGACAUAGCAUUUGCAGAAUUUGAUUGCAAUCCCAAUUUUGUUCCUAAUGAUAUUUUACCUGAUGUGAUGAUAUUUUACCUGAUGUUGGUAUACGUUCAAGAAGCCAUGAAAACUGUAGUUCUUGUCGGAUGGAUUUCGUACGUGAUUGAAUUGCAAAUAGUUUAAUAAAACAAUAAAAAAUACUUUAUAUAAAGUAUUGUUUAUUUCAUGAUUUAAUAGCAGUAGUUAAAUCUAUAAUAUUUCAAUUAAAAACCAUCAAUAUUAAUAUAUGUUUUUUUUAAUUAUUUUAUAACCUUAAUUUGAAAAAUAUUCUUUAAACCAAACACAUUAAACUACUUUUUGUUCAACCUCAAUUUCAACCACAAUUUUAACCAAAUAUAUAUUUUUUCAAACCAAUCUCAACUAAAAGUAAUUUUUAUAAAACAACUUUUUCAAACUAUAACCACAACAGCUACCACAAUACCAAAUACACAUAAAAAAAACUGUAAUGAUAAGCAAGUUAAAGUGCCACCAUUGAUUUAGGAUCUGCUUUAGAUCUUAUAAGGUGAAAGUAAAACACAAGGAAAUGCAUGCAUGCACACCACUAAUCUUUGAUUCUGGCGAGAACAGUGAUGACUACACUCAGAACCAUAUAGAAUUACAUUCCAAGAUGAAGAAAUUAAUAACAGAGCAGUGCUAUAAAGCUAAAUGUGAGAACCAAAGAUUAAUAAGCAAUGCUGAAAAUUUUAUCAUGCAUAAGAUGAGAGAAGCACAGGACAGAUUUUAUCAAAUCUAUAGUUUUUCUUCAAUAAUAAUAAUAUUUUUUAAAAAUUUAAUAAUAAUAAAAAAAAAAAACUCAUGUUCCUUGGCUCUUUCUCUUGCCAAACUGAAGCUACCAUAGUCAAAUCCAAGUAACUUAGAUGUCACGCUCUUGCUAAACCCAAGUUAUUUGGGUAUGACAUCUCAUGCUGGACUCAUAGCAUUCCAGAUCAAAGGUGUUGAUAUCUAACAAUAAUACCUCACCCGAGCCCUAAGAUGUGAUUGCUUUUCUAGACCCGAGGGCCAAGGCACCAAGACACUAUUCACUAUAAGUCAAGUCAAUGAAUCAAUCAAUCGAUUUUAAAGAUCAAGUUUUUUUUUUAAUAGAGAAACAAAACUUUUAUUAACAUUGAAAUAACUCUUAAAAUCUUAAUAAAAUUAAUUUGAAGUAAAAAUAAUAUUAAAAGAAAUAUUCAGAAGCACUUUUUGAUUGUAAAAUCAAACACACUAAAAUCAUGUAGAUUUUCAUUUAGACAUUAAAAUUCAAGAAGAAAUUAAGUUCACAGUACUAUUAAUUCAAUCGAUGAAGGAUUAGACCCAACUACUUUAGGGCCACCAUUGACAUUGAUUACUUUGAAUAAUUUUAAUUUAUAGGCAUAAAAAAUUAAUACAUAUCUUUAAGAGGAUCAAUUUUAGAUUAUCUCUCUCUCUCUCUCUCUAUUUUUUUUUUGGUUUUCAAAUAUUUGACAUUUUCGUUUAGAUAAGCUCUAGUGUGUGUUUUUUUAAGAUUAUUUUAAAUCAUGUUUCUUGAAAUGUCAAAAACAUUUCAUGGAUUAAUUUAACUUAAUAACGCCAAAGAAUUAGGAAUUAAAACUGACAAUUUCCACCAUGUAAGAGUACCUAAUUGAAAAUUUACUUUCUUAUCAUUUACCUCAAUUAAGCGGAAGCAUGAUCAUGAGAAGGGAUUUGGAGAAAGAAUUAUAAACAGAGAAUAAGAGAAAAUGUAAUGUGUAUAGAUUUUCUUAAUGAAUUAAUUAUGAUACAACAGAAGCUCAUAUAUAUAUAUAUAUACAUUCUAAACUAAUCAGUUAUGAAAUGUUAUUACAAAUAUAAUUUGAAUUUCAAUUUUAAAAUCAUGAUUAGUGCAGGUUUAUCAAUGCAGCAGAAUAUCCAUCAUAAACAAGAAGUUCACAGUUACAAAGUUUGAAUCUUUGUAACUGUAACUCUCUUUUGAAACUCUCUUCUUGGUCUUCAAUAUCCGUUAGCUAGCUGGAGAUGUAACAGUUACAAAGUUUGAAUCUUUGUAACUGUAACUCUCUUCUUGGUCUUCAAUGUCUGUCAGUUACAAAGUUUGAAUCUUUGUAACUGUAACUCUCUUAUGCUUAACAUUCCCCUGCAAACUGAUGGGGAUAGGAAUCACCAUCAAUUUGGACCGUAAAAACAUAAACCUUGCUGUAGUAUGACCUUUGGUGAAGACAUCUGCAAUCUGGUCAUAUGUUGAAAUAUAUCGUACAAGAAUAUCCUUAUUAAGAACUUUUUCACGGAUGAAGUGAUAAUCCACCUCUAUGUGCUUCGUUCGGGCAUGAAAAACAGGAUUAGAGGCAAGAGAUAUUGCACCUACAUUAUCACACCAUAGUGUAGGAGGUGACGACAAUGAAAUGCCAAGAUCUUGCAAUAACAUUCGAAGCCAAUAUAGUUCAGCAGUGACAAGAGCCAUGGAUCGAUAUUCGGCCUCAGUACUGGAUUUAGACACAACACUUUGUUUCUUUGCACUCCAGGAUAUGAGAUUUUGGCCUAGAAACACAAUAUAACCACUUGUAGAUUUUCUAUCAUCAGGAUUCCCAGCCCAAUCUGCAUCACAGAAAGCAUCUAAUGUUGUUGUCGAUUGAGUGUAGUGAAUACCAUAAUCAAUUGUUCCUUUCAAGUAACGAAGAACUCUUUUGGUAGCAAUCCAGUGUGGUUCUCGUGGAGCAUGCAUGAAUUGGCAUAAUUGGUUCACUGCAUAGCUGAUGUCAGGUCUUGUUAAAGUGCAAUAUUGAAGAGCACCAAUAACUUGAUGAUAUUCAGUUGGAUCAUUCAAUAUCCGUUAGCUAGCUGGAGAUGUAACAGUUACAAAGUUUGAAUCUUUGUAACUGUAACUCUCUUAUGCUUAACAUUUGGGAGGCACUUAGAUUAGGCUCUUCUCUAGUCUUGAGAAGCAAAACCAAUAGAGACGUGAUUGCGCACUCCCUGAGCUAUAUAGUAAGUGGCUGCAAACAAAUUGUCAGCACCAAUUCAGGUCCGGAAAAUUAAAGCAUUGAAGCAUAAAAGGUGACCUAACCUAAUUAAGCAAAUUACUACUUAUUCCAGCAUCACCUAGGAGUGAGACAGCCAGCCCAUCCAGUGUCUACAUGGUAAGGGAAUAAUUCCUUCAAGAAUGCAGAGAAAAUUAUACUUGCAAUACAACUAUAAACGAGAUGGUACAGUGCGGAAGGCAAGAUGUUAAAUCAAUUGAUCUUAUUAUAAUACUGUGAAAUAUGAUCAGGACAAAAAAAUAAAUAAAGAAAGAAAGAGUUGUUUAUUUUACAAUGAUCGAUAUGAUGCUUCUUUGCAUGUGGAAUCUUCGUCAAAGACUUGUUGAAAAUGCCAAAUUGUGAUCCACUUUUGGCUGUGUCAAAUGCAUGGGUGGGGCUUCACACAGAGCUAUUACCCCUUGUGUAAACUCAACGCCAGUUUUCAUGAGUUCUUUGGGAUUCUAACAUAGUAAAAAAAAGAAAGAUAAAAUAACAAAGUGUAAAGAAUAUUUAGUGAAAUAGAUAUUCGUGAUUAAUCAGUAGCAAUUAUUAUAUGCUGGCUCUCUCGGGUUUACUUGACAGAAGAUUUAUUAAAAAGAGUUGAUAAAGGAGAAAGAAAAGAAAAGAAAAUCUUCAAGGUAUAUCAAAACUCUGAUAAUAAUAUUAUUGGUAUUGUUAAAAAAAUCUCGACAAGACAAAUCGAAAAAUAACAAUGAAGGUCAUCAAUGACGAUAAAAAUAAGUCAUACGAGUGGCCCAAGAUAAGUGAGUUUUAAUACUUUUGAACAGCUUGUAUGAUUCAUUUUAUUCACUAUUUAUAAUCUUUUUUGAUGCUGUUAAAUUCAUCUUGUAAUGAUGUUGAUAAUGUUAUCAUUAUAAUUUCAAUGUAUUUUUAUUUUUAUUAUUAUUUUUUGUUUUGCUCUCUCUCCUCUCUCAUUGUAAUUUAUGAAGAGUAAGAGAGGGGGAAAAAAAAAACCCUAGUCUUCCAAUUUAAUCUGGCUGAAUACUACUAUCUCAAUCUUAUUCACUACUUUGUCAAAGCAAAGUAGAUUUUUCCUUAAAUAAGAUCUAAUCCACCGGCGGAUAGGUGAUCAAGAAUAUUAAAUUAGUGUAAAACUUGAUUUAAUUCAACAUUAUAAUUAGAGGUGCUAUAAUAAUGUGAAAAAAAGAAUAAAAAAACUAGAUGAUGGCGACCACAUAUCAAUAAUUCCAGACAUCACGUGGAGCACUUUCAUCAUCAUUAUUAUUAUUGGUAUAAUAAUGUUUGUUGUAUUAUUUUUUAAUUGUUAAGUUGUUUACUAUAUGUUAAAAUUUCAAGAUCUUCAAAGAUUGGGAAGAUCGGAUCUAAAGUUACUAUGGGACUGUCUUUAUUUUCCUAUUUGGAUUUUUUUAUUUAUAUUAAGAAUUUAAAUUUAAUUAGUAUUUUAUUAUUUAAAAAUUUUAAUGGUAAAUUGAUUCUAUUAGUUAGGUAAAUUUUAAAUAUAAAUUAUUUUUCUAUACAAAAUUUUAAAUCUAGAACUAAUAUAAAUAAAAAUAUUUAGUUUAUUUUUGUUCGAGGAUUCAUAUUAUUAUUUAAAUUUUUUUAUAAAUAUUUAGAGAUUUUUUCUAAUUUCCUAUGGUGUUAGGGAUUAUAACCUUAAGGUUUGGUUUGAAAUAAUGAUGACAGUUAUUUCUUAAAGUGUUUUUCACUUGAAAAUACAUUAAAAUAAUAUUUUUUUUAUUUUUUAAAUUUUUUUUUGAUAUCAGCAUAUCAAAACAAUUCAAAAACACCAAAAACUUAAUUUGAAAAAAAAUCAAAAUUUAUAAAAACCCCGGUUAAAAUGUUUUACCAAACACUUCUUAGUUUUUAAUAUUAAUACAUCAAAACAAUCCAAAAAUAUUAAUUUAAAAUUUUUAAAAACUCCGGUUGCGUUUGUAAGAUGUGUUGCGGCUCUCAACUUGCUACAAUGGCCUUUCUUUAAUAUUUUAUUUACACCAUUCAUGGAACCCUCUUUGCCUUCCACACAAAUCCCGGAUUUUGGUGAAACUGCUAAGAGGAAAAAUGAAGAGCUUUCCAAAGGCCAUGCUAAAACUACAAAGAAGUGAUCUCUACCUUUCCAGAAGUUAAAGGCUUUUGGGACGUUCCGCUCUUCUUGGGAAGACUCAUGUCAGUUCAAGAACACUACAAGCCUCAAUCCACUGAUAUAUUUGUCGCCAGCUUUCCAAAAACGAAGGAAAUCUUUGGUUAAUGUUCUCUGAAUCUCUCCUUUUCUCCUUCAAGAGUGAAAUUUAUGUGCCUUUCGUACCUUUUUACGUUAGAACAUUUCAUUUGUUCUUGUUUUCUAAAUUGAGUCUUUUCUAUGCGUUUUAUUAUUUUAUUUAUUGGGUAUUUGAGAGUGUAGUAAUAGUUAUAAUUUAAAGUGUUUUUAUUCAAAAAUAUAUUAAAAUAAUAUAUAUUUUUAAUUUUUUAAUAUUCAUCUUUUGACAACAUCACUCCAAAACAUUAGAAAACAUAAAAAAAAAAAAAACAAUUAGAAAACAAUUAGAAAACGCAAGAUUGCAUCAAUGCUAAAUGCAAUAUAUAUAUAUAGGUGCGCGCGCGCGCGUGUGUGAGAGAGAGAGAGAUCCACCUGUGUGUGAAAUGCAUAGUGAUGUUCCACAGCGAGCCAUUAUCUAUUAUGUAAAAUCUCUGAGAAAUGUCAUAGAUCAAUUGGUCGAUAUAGCAAAUUGAUAGGUUAAAGCUGCUCAUAAUCAAUACCUCUAAAAGAUUAUCUUUGGUGGAGAUGAAAACUUUUUGAUAUGUAAAUAAGUAUUUAAAAAAAAAUUAAAUAUUCUAUAAAGAGAUGUUCUGAAAAUACAAAUGCAGUAGAGAAUUGGAGAUUGUGAAUCUUUAUUAUGAAGGUCUCAUGAUAUAUUUAUAGCUCGAAUCUUGUCAUUUUGUGAAAAUAAGAGUUUGCAGUGUAAUUAACCUGAUAACAUUUAAUGAGGAAUAAAUAUCAUUUACAUGAUGGGAAUAUGGUGGGUCCUCGAAGGAGUUUUAUACACCUUAAAAGGUAUCAGAAAAUUAGAGUUUAAGAUAUCAAGUGUAGCUGAGCUUAUAGAGAUCAAGUUCUUUCUUGAGAUUAAAUCCAAGGGAGGUUUGUCAUUCCCCUGGACAUGCCAAGGAAGAAUGGUUAUUAUCUUGGACUUGGUUGGUUGCCAAAUCCAAGCAUCUUGGGCAUGACAUGCGUGCCAGAUCCACACUACCUUGAAGUUGGAGCACUACUAAGUCCAAGCGCCUCGGGUCUGACAUGCAUGCCAGACUUAUACUACGCUGGACUUGGUGCAUUACUAAGUCCAAAUGCCUUGGGUCUGAUAUGCCUGUUAGACCUAUAUUAUCUUGGGCUUGACGCAUUACUAUAUUCAAGCACCUUGAACUUAAUUAAUUGUCAAGUCCAUGCAUCUUAGAUUUAGAUCUAACAUAUACACUAGACUCAUAUUACAUUGAAUCUAGCGCAUUACAAAGUUAUAAUGCCUUGAAUUAAGUAUAUGUGCCACAUCCAUACAUUUUAAAAAACCAAACGAAAACUAAAUAAAAAGUUGACUCAUCGCUAAUCUAUAAAUACUAUCUACAUAAUGGCCUUAGUUGAUAUCUUCUACCGCUUACUACAUUUACUUGAAUAAUGAAAAUGUUUUUUUUUUUUAAUGGAAAAGAGAUUUUAACUCCAUCUUCAAUUACUAUAUAAAUGUUUCCUUGGGUUUUGAAAACGCAAUCAUGCUAAAAAUUUAUUAUCUAAUAUAAAAUAAAAUGUAUUUGUUUUUAUAUUUUAAAAAUGUUUUUUUUUUAAUUUUUUAAUUUUCAUCUUGUUUUGAUGUGUUAAUAUUAAUAAUAAAUUUUAAAAAUAAAAAAAAUAUUAUUUUAAUAUAUUUUUUAAAUUAAAAAUAUUUUAAAAAAUAACUAUUACAACAUUAACGAAUAAGAUUUAAUAUAAAAAACAUUCUAAUUGCAUCAGCUGAGAGGUGAUCAACAAUACCGCAUUCCCGAACUUCACAUCCCUAUAUUAAUGGAUUGUGUUGUGGGCUCCACGCCAUUUAAAGCUUGUAAGAGAAACCACACCUCUAAAUAGAAACCACACGAUCACGCUAAAAGAUUUGCUAUCGAAUAUAAUAUGAAAUAAAACCCAAUUGCAUCAGCGGACAUGUGAUCAAUAAUAUUAAAAUAAGGUAAUAGUUGAUGGGCCACAAAUUAAACCAGCUCUCAACUCGCUACAAAUAGCUGCCAUGGCCUUUCAUUCUACGUUAUAUUUUCAUUUUUUACAUUCAUGGAAUCCUCUUUGCCUUCCACCCAAAUCUCGGAUUCUGGUGACAGUGCAGAGAGGAAAAAUGAAGCUAAAAAUUACAAUGAAGUGAUGUCCACCUUUCCGAAAGUUAAAGGCUUGAAUGGGUAUGAUUAUUACCUGUACCAAGGCUUUUGGUACGCUCCCUUCUUCUUGGAAGGACUCUUGUCUGUUCAAGAGCGCUUCAAUCCUCAAUCCACUGAUAUAUUUGUCGCCAGUUGUCCAAAAACUGGCACAACUUGGCUUAAGGCCCUCACUUUUGCUAUUUUCACACGAUCCCGUUUAAGUGGUUCAACAACUAGUUCUUUACUUACCAAGAUGCCACAUGACUGUGUUCCUUUUUUGGAAUAUCACCUUGCUCAAAACCCCAGUAAUCGGGACUUGGCAAUUCCUCUGGUAUCUACUCAUGUUCCUUGCACUUGUUUACCUAAAUCUAUCAUUUCUUCUUGUUGCAAGAUUAUUUACAUUUCCAGGGACGCAAAGGAUGCUUUUGUUUCUUUGUGGUACUUUCUUGCCAGGCUGCAAAUGUCGAAAAAUGUUGAACCUCUUCCUCUGGAAGAGGCAUUUGAGUUGUUUUGCAAUGGAAUUGCAAAUUUUGGACCAUAUUGGGACCAUGUUUUAGGGUAUUGGAGAGCAAGCUUCGAGUUCCCUGAUAUUGUUCUUGACAUACGAGGAAAUGAAGAAAGACACCGCUGCUCAUGUUAAGAAACUAGCUGAGUUCAUGGGUUGUUCUUUCUGUUGCAUUAAACUCAAUCUAGAAGGUUAAGGAAGGCAACCACCACUUGCAGCCACUAGCUGUCACCGCCUAGCCGCCAGCCGUCUUCAUACUUGAAAGUUGAAUUAUCUUGUUUUUGAAUUCUGUGUAUAAAUAGAUAGCUAAGUGGAUGUUAUUCUGUGUGGAAAGAGAAGAAAGAAACACUAGAGAGAAAGAGAGAGGGAGUGUGUAGCUUUUGUUUAAUUAUUGUAAGCUUUUAUUGUUGAAAUAAAACAGUGUGUUUUAUCUCUUCUGAGUGUUUCAAAGCCACCACCAGUGGUUUCUCCCACCAACAAUUGGUAUCAGAGCCUCGUUCGUCACAAAACACAAGUAUUUUGGGAGAUACACGAAUUUUCAAAGUUGUCAAAAACAAUUUUUGAUCAUUCCACAAUGUAGAGCUCAUCCAUACGAACUCACUGGUGCAAAAAUCAGCUUCAUCGGAGCCCGAGGUGAUCCCCACGCGCCUCCUGAAAUUCCGGUAACUGUAGCCCAGUCUCACCCACGCGCUCCAGAGGUUGAAGACGCCAGAGGUUGAAGACGAGUGUCGUCCACGCGCGCCAUAUUCGAGCCGAUCCCCAGCCGAGCCGAUCUUUAGCCUCAGCCGAGCCGAUAGAAUAUUCCCCAGAAUAUUCCCGGUUCAACCCCAGCGAACCGCCUAACGUCCAGAAUCGGUUUUCAGACCGGUUCAGCCUAUUUCUGACCCAUUUUCAUCCAAGUCAGGCCGGUUCCCUACUGUUUUGAGCAUUCUGGAUCCAUCUACGGUGUCUGUUUUGCCAAAUUCAACUCCCAGAAGGUGAUAUAGUCAUUCAAAAAGCAAAAUGACUACAGAAAAUGCACAAACACUCAUCCCGAAGCUGACCAAAGACAACUAUGAUAGUUGGUGUAUCAGAUUGAAGGCAUUUCUUGGUUUACAAGAGUGUAUAGAGAUUGUGCAAUAUGGUUAUGAUGAACCAGAGUCUAAAGAAGUAGAAGAUACUUUAAAUGAGGCAGAAAAGCAAGUCCUCAAAGCAAAUAGAAAGAAAGACAACAAAGCAAAGACCAUAAUCUAUCAAGGUCUUGACGAAGCUAUAUUCGAAAUUAUUGCUUCCGCAGAAACAUCAAAAGAGAUAUGGGAGGCUCUCCAACAAAAAUACAAAGGUGCUGACAGAAUCAAGAAGAUUCGUCUCCAAUCUUUGCGAGGUGAGUUUGAAUUAUUGCAAAUGAAGGCCUUAGAAUCUAUUUUUGACUAUCACACAAGAAUUAUGGUGAUAGUCAAUCAGAUGAGAAGAAAUGGAGAAGCCCUCACAGAUGCUCGGAUUACAGAGAAAAUUUUGAGAUCCCUAUAUCCAAAAUUUUAUUUUGUUGUUGUCGUUAUUGAAGAGUCCAAAGAAGUGGACAAGUUGAUGGUGGAUGAGCUUAUGAGUUCUUUGCAAGCUCAUGAGCAAAAGAUCGUGAAAAGAAAUGGAGAUAAGGCAAUUGAGCAUGCCUUACAAGCAAAGUUGUCUCUCAAAGACAGAUAUGAGCAAGGGGAGACUUCAAUAAGUGGAUAUACCACUCAAGGAAGAAGUCCACAAAGACGAGGAGGAUUUCAGCAAUUCCAAGGAAGAGGAUCUUGGAAUACAGGUUUUAGAGGAAGAGGUGGCAGAUAUACCACUAGAGGAGGCCGAGGACAACAAUCAUUCACUCCUAAAGGAAGAGGAGGCGGUUACAAUAACCGUGACAAGAGGAAUAUCCAGUGUUAUAAGUGCAAUCAAUUUGGGCACUAUAGCAUUGAAUGUCAAAGGAAAGCUCCAUUAGAGGUACGUGAGCAUGCAAACUAUGCAGAGGAGGAUGCCAACAGCAGAGGAGCAGCUGCAUUAUUUGUCCAACAAGGACUUGACAAGAAUCAAGAGAAUAUUUGGUAUCUUGAUUCUGGAGCCAGCAAUCACAUGUGUGGCCAACGAGAUCUAUUUGGCGAUCUAGAUGAGACCAUACAAGGUCUAGUCACCUUUGGAGAUACAUCAAAAGUUCCAUUCAAAGGUAAAGGCAACAUCCCAAUCAAGUUGAAGAAUGGCGAUCAUAGCUACAUCGCCAAUGUCUACUAUGUCCCAGCCAUAAAGCAAAACUUGGUGAGCAUAGGUCAACUUCUAAAGAAAGGUUAUACACUUUUCAUGAAGAAUUGUCAUCUGACAGUUACAGACUACAAUGGGAGAUUAAUUGCCUAUGUGAAAAUGUCCAAGAAUAGGAUGUUUCCUUUAAACAUCCAAUAUGAUGCAGCAAAGUAUUUGAGUGCCAUCACCAACAGUGAAGAGUGGCUUUGGCACCUGAGGCUUGGACAUCUGAAUUUCACAAGUCUGAAGAUGCUAGCAAGCAAGAAGAUGGUCAAAGGUAUGCCCCACAUUGAUCAUCCAGAUGAAGUCUGUGAGAGUUGUGUCCUCAGCAAACAUCACAGAUCCAAUUUUGCCAAAGAAGUCAACUGGAAAGCAAACAAGCCACUGGAGUUAGUGCACACAGAUGUGUGUGGUCCCAUAAAGCCUAUGUCGACUGGACCAAAUAGGUACUUCCUUACUUUCAUUGAUGAUUUUAGCAGAAAGACGUGGAUAUACUUUCUGAAGAGGAAGUUAGAAGUGUUCAAUUGUUUUAAAGAUUUUAAAGCAAUUGUUGAGAAGCAAAGUGGCUAUAAGAUCAGAACCGUGAGAUCUGAUCAAGGUGGAGAAUAUACAGCAAAUGACUUUGAAGCCUUUUGUACACAACAAGGCAUCAAACAUCAGACAACACCAGCUUAUACACCACAGCUGAAUGGUGUAGCUGAAAGAAAGAAUCGAACGAUUCUUGACAUGGCGAGAAGUCUACUCAAAGCAAAGAAGCUGCCCAAACAAUACUAGGCUGAAGCUGUAUCAUGUGCAGUGUAUCUACUGAAUCGCUGCCCAACCAAAAGUUUGCAAGCUGUCACUCCACAAGAAGCAUGGAGUGGUCACAAACCAAGUGUUACUCAUCUUCGAGUCUUUGGUUGUGUGGCAUAUGCAAAGAUCCCAGAUGCAAGAAGGACCAAACUCGAUGAUAAAAGCGAGAAAUGCAUCUUUGUCGGAUAUGGUGAGAGAAAGAUGGGAUACAAGCUGUAUAAUCUCAUCACAAAGAAGGUAAUUAUGAGUAGAGAUGUUAUCUUUGAAGAAGAUAAAACAUGGCAAUGGAAGGAUGACCAAGAAGCAGUCAAAUGGAUCAGCACUGAUUUGAUCCUUGAAGAUGAAGUGGAAGUACCACCAGUACUUGCAGAAGGUCUGAUAUUACCGGCAGAUGAGCCACAAAGUUCGGUACACAGAUUCCCUGUAUUCAACAGGAGAAACACACCAGAAUCAUCAUCAGCAUCCUCAUCAGAAGGACCAAGAAGGAUGAGAAAUCUAGACGAGUUGUACGAUGUCAUGCAAGUCAUGGAAGAUACAACUCUAUUUUGUUUCUUUACAGAUACUGACCCACUUAGCUUCAAUGAAGUUAUCAAAGAAGAGAAGUGGAUAUAAGCAAUGGAUGAAGAAAUACAUGCUAUUGAGAAGAAUGACACCUGGAAGCUGACUAAUCUACUAGAAAACAAGAAAGCAAUAGGUGCCAAAUGGGUCUAUAAGACAAAGAAGAAUGCAAAAGGAGAAGUGCAAAGAUACAAAGCAAGAUUAGUAGCAAAAGGCUACAAAUAAAGAGAAGGCAUUGACUAUGGAGAAGUAUUUGCUCCAGUAGCCCGGCUAGAGACAAUCAGACUGAUGAUCUCACUAGCUGCACAACAUAGAUGGAAGAUCUAUUAACUCGAUGUGAAGUCAGCAUUUCUGAAUGGCUUCCUAGAAGAAGAGAUCUAUGUUGAACAACCACUUGGAUACAUCGAAGCUGAAAAUGACGGCAAAGUAUACAAGUUGAAGAAAGCUCUCUACGGUUUGAAGCAAGUUCCGCGUGCUUGGAAUACCAGAAUUGACAGGUAUUUUCAAGAAAAUGAAUUUGAAAAAUGUCCAUAUGAACACGCAAUAUAUGUGAAGAAAGAAGCAGAUAACAACAUAUUAUUUGUGUGCCUAUAUGUUGAUGAUUUGCUAUUCACCGGCAACAACCCAACCAUGUUUGAAGCCUUCAAGAAAAGCAUGGUACAAGAGUUUGAGAUGACAGACAUUGGUCUGAUGGCACACUUUCUUGGCUUAGAAGUGGUGCAGAAAGAAGAAGGGAUUUUUGUAUCCCAAAGCAGUUAUGCCAAAGACAUUCUUGAAAGGUUCAAGAUGGAAAGCUGCAAUCCGGUAUCAACUCCAGUUGAGAAUGGAGUAGAAUUGAGGAAGAGUAAAGUUGGAAAUGUUGAUCCAACUUACUUCAAAAGCUUAGUAGGAAGCUUAAGGUACUUGACAUGUACCAGACCGGAUAUACUCUACGGAGUUGGUCUUAUCAGCAGAUACAUGGAGACACCAGACCAGUCUCACUUGAAUGCAGCCAAGAGAAUUCUUCGCUACAUCAAAGGAACAAUCAAUGAAGGUAUGUUUUAUACCUCAAGUACAAACUUCAAUCUUGUUGGCUACUCGGAUAGUGAUUGGGGUAGAGAUCUGGAUGAAAGGAAAAGCACAACAGGGUUUGUCUUUUUCAUGGGAAAUACAUUUUUCACAUGGUCAUCCAAGAAGCAAUCGAUAGUAACGUUAUCAAGCUGUGAAGCUGAGUAUGUUGCUGCCAACUCAGCUGUAUGCCAUUUAAUAUGGUUAAGAAAUAUGCUGAAGCAUUUGGGAUUUCCUCAAGAAGAUCCCACAGAGAUUUAUAUUGAUAAUCGAUCAGCGAUUGCAUUAGCAAAGAACCCGGUGUAUCAUGAACGAAGUAAACACAUUGAUACACGUCAACACUUUAUCCGAGAGCAUAUAAAGAACAAAGAAGUCGAGCUGAUAUCCUGCAAGACAAAUGAUCAAGUUGCAGAUAUCUUUACAAAGCCAUUGAAGGGAGAAACAUUUAUCAGACUGAAGUUCAUACUUGGCGUGACAUCCCUCGAUUAAGUUUAAAGGGGGGAUUUGUUGCAUUAAACUCAAUCUAGAAGGUCAAGGAAGGCAACCACCACUUGCAACCACCAGCUGUCACCGCCCAGCCACAAACCGCCCAGCCGCCAGCCACUAGCUGUAUGCCGCCAGCCUCCAGCCGCCUUCACACUUGAAGGUUGAAUUAUCUUGUUUUUGAAUUCGUGUAUAAAUAGGUAGCUAAGUGGAUGUUAUUCUGUGUGGAAAGAGAAGAAAGAAACACUAGAGAGAAAAGAGAGGGAGUGUGUAGCUUUUGUUUAAUUAUUGUAAGCUUUUAUUGUUGAAAUAAAACAGUGUGUUUUAUCCCCUCUGAGUGUUUCAAAGCCACCACCAGUGGUUUCUCCCACCAACACUUUCACCUUAGAGGAAGAGGAGGAAGGGGAGGUGCAAAAGAUAAUAAGCAUGUGUAGUUUUGAGAAGUUGAGCAACUUGGAGGUGAAUAAAAAUGGGAAGCACCGUCCGGACACAUCAAUUGCUAUUCAAAACAGUGUAUACUUCAGGAGAGGUGAGAUAGGCGACUGGGCAAAUCACUUGACACCUGAAAUGGGAGCACGUCUAGAUGACAUAAUGGAGCAGAAACUCAAGGGUUCAGGCUUGAAGCUGCCGAGGUGAAUGUGCCUAGGGUCCCAUUUGCUUGUGAUUAUUGCCGAAGCGGGUUCAUCAAAAGCUGUUAUCAACAUCUCGUGAAACAGCAACUGUGUAUCCCAAUAAAUACCCUCUCUGUUCAUCUCUUGUAUUUCCCAGCAAGUAUUCACAUUUUGUGAAUCAUCCAUGUCAAUAAGCAAUGUUCUUUGUGAAUCUGUGUUUUUGACUUUCAUUCAUUUCCUUGCAUGCUUGUAAGAAUUAAAAAUUGGAUUCGUUUUUUUUAUUUAUUUAUUUAACACAAGUUCAUGCAUUCCAUUAAUCAGUUCGAUAAAAAAUAAAUUUAGUCUAAUAUAUAAUAUUAGAGUGUUUUCUUCACAGAAAUUGCAGUGUGUUUUCUUCAGUUAUACAUGUUUUAAAAGAACCGAGACAACCAUCCAUUAAGAUUGUUGAAUUGCAGAUCAAAUGAACGUAGGCGGCACAUCUGCUGAAAGGAUCUCGAAAUGCCUUGUAAUUGGUUAAAAUAAAGAUCAAGAUCUGUAGGAGAACUCGUGUUUUCCACUCCUAAAAUAAGCCCAGUUGCCGGCUUCAUGUGCAACAGAGGCACAUAGAGAAUCUGAAAGCAGUUUUUAUGCACUGUCAGCAGAAUAAUUUGAUCAGUCAGAAUGAUUCCCCCCCUCUAGGGCUCAGAUCACAAUUCUUCCUUGAAACAAAUCUUUUGGAACCGAUAUGUGGAGGGAUGGCUUGAUUUAUACCGGAGAUUUUGUUGGAAAAUUAAAGAAGCAUGGCUUAAUUUGUACCUUGGAUGCGCAAAUUGAUUAGAGGGAAAAAAUGACAGAAAGUGAGUUACAGGGAAUGAAAAAGGCAUUAGUAAACUCAACACCUUUCAGGGCAUCGUUCCUUGGUUUACUCCGUUUUAUUUCUUAUUUUGUUUUUCCUGCCAUUGUCUAAUGUUUUUCGAACUCACAGUCUGGUCUCUGCAGAGAAUGAGAAAGCACAAAUUCUUUAAGAGAAGAUAUUCUCCGGCAAUGGCAUCAAACGGAAAAGUCCGACGUCAACUAAGUGUGUGUUUGGUGUUGCGGCCGUGUUUACAAAAAAACAUCGUUGUCAUGUGUUUGGUUACGGUCUAAACACAAUUUUCUAUUUGUGGGACCCAUUACUAUUUGCAUUUAAACUGCAAGAUAACCGGAAGCAACUUCAAGUUGCUUUUUAUGAUUAGUUGCAAACUAUGUUAUAAACAGAGGCCACAAGAAAAAGAGCAGAAAUAGAGCAGUGAAUAGUGAACAGUAGAGAGCAGCUGCCUCUCACCACCAACCUCCACCGUUUUCACUGCCAGCCACUGCUCUUCCUCUUCCCCUUCUCCCUUUCACGUGAACUGUGGAGAGUGGAGAGCAGCUCACCACCGACCUCCGCUGUUUCCAUCGCCAGCCACUGCUCUUCCUUUUCCCCUUCUCCUUUUCACGUGAAUAGUGGAGAGUGGAGAGCAGCUCACCACCGACCUCUGCUGUUUCCAUCGCCAGCCACUGCUCUUCCUCUUCCCCUUCUCCUUCAUCUUUUACGUUCUCCACUGUUAAUGUGAACAGUGGAAAGCAGCUCAUUACCGGCCUCUGCCAUUUUCACCGCCAGCCACUGCUCUUCCCCUUCCCCUUCCCCUUCGUCUUCUGCAUUCUCCACUGUUCACGUUGCAUGUGAACAGUGGAGAGUAGCUCACCACCGGCCUCCAUUGUUUCCACCGCCAGCCAUUGCUCUUCCUCUUCCCCUUCUCCUUCUCCUUCAUCUUCUGUAUUCUCCACUGUUCACGUGAACAGUGGAGAGCGUCUCCACUGUUCAUGACCGGACCGAGUCAAACCCAAACCUAAAUGCAUUGGACCGGGUCCGACCCAAUAAAAUUAAAAAAAAUCCAAAAAAAUUUCUUAGAUAUUGUGUUUUAUUUGAAAAACUAGUGUUUAAAAUUAUUCAAUGGCACUACAUAAUUAUAUUAGGAGAUCGCAUGAUAACGUAACAUUUGCAUAAUUUGAUUGCAAUCCCAAUUUUGUUCCUAAUGAUAUUUUACCCAAUGUGAUGAUAUUUUACCUGAUGUUGGUGCACAUUCAGGAAGCCAUGAAAACUAUAGUUCUUGUCGGAUGGAUUUCGUACGUGAUUGAAUUGCAAAUAGUUUAAUAAAACAAUAAAAAAUACUUUAUAUAAAGUAUUGUUUAUUUCAUGAUUUAAUAGCAGUAGUUAAAUCUAUAAUAUUUCAAUUAAAAACCAUCAAUAUUAAUAUAUGUUUUUUUUAAUUAUUUUAUAACCUUAAUUUGAAAAAUAUUCUUUAAACCAAACACAUUAAACUACUUUUUGUUCAACCUCAAUUUCAACCACAAUUUUAACCAAAUAUAUAUUUUUUCAAACCAACCUCAACUAAAAGUAAUUUUUAUAAAAACAACUUUUUCAAACUAUAACCACAACAGCUACCACAAUUCCAAAUACACACAAAGAAAACUGUACUGAUAAGCAAGUUAAAGUGCCACCAUUGAUUUAGGAUCUGCUUUAGAUCUUAUAAGGUGAAAGUAAAACACAAGGAAAUGCAUGCAUGCACACCACUAAUCUUUGAUUCUGGCGAGAACAGUGAUGACAACCAUAUAGAAUUACAUUCCAAGAUGAAGAAAUUAAUAACAGAGCAGUGCUAUAAAGCUAAAUGUGAGAACCAGAGAUUAAUAAGCAAUGCUGAAAAUUUUAUCAUGCAUAAGAUGAGAGAAGCAUAGGACAGAUUUUUCCCUCAAAUGAUUAACUAGAAUACGAGUUGCACUUCAAUUUUAAAGCUGAAAGAUGAAACAAUCAUACAAGCUCACACCUCUAUAACAGAGUGACAGUUCAUGGUGACCUCAAAGACUGCAUCAAGUCCUCCAAGCUCUCGUAACUUUUCCUUAAAGUCCCCCCCCAGUCUUCCUUGCCAUGCCAGAUGUAUCUGAAUGAAUGCAACCCAUACAGUGAAAUAAAUAAGCAAUCAGAAAAGGAGAGAGAGAGCUGUGUGAAUAAAGAAUUGUCACAAAACUAGAUGAUGGCGACCACAUAUCAAUAAUUCGAGACAUGACGUGGGGCACUUUCAUCGUGAUUAUUGUCUGUACAAUAAUGUUUGAUGCAUUAUUUCUUGUUAAGACUUUUUAGGUUGUGAAAAGUCCAAGAUGUAGCUUUUGAUUUUAUCAUUUAUAUUAAAUUGAAAUUUUGACAUAAAAUUCUAAAGAUUUUGUGGUUAAAAUUUCAAGAUCUUCGAAGAAAGACCUUUAAAUAAGGAUUUAAAGUUAUUAUGAGAUGGUCUUUAUUUACCUAUUUAGAUUUUUUUAUUUAUAUUAAAAAUUUUAAUUCAAUUAGUAUUUUACUAUUUAAAAAUUCUAAUAAUAGAUUGAUUAUAUUAAUAAUACAAAUUAUUUUUCUAUACAAAAUUUUAUUUCUAGAAUUAAUAUAAAUAAAAAUAUUUAGUUUAUUUUUUUGUUCAGGAUUCAUAUUAUUAUUUAGAUUUUUUAUAAAUAUUUAGAGAUUUUUUUUAUUUUGCUACUGUGUUAGGACUAUAACUUUAAGGUUUGGGUGUUUGGGAAAGUUAUAGCGGUUACGUUUUAAAGUGAUUUUUAUUUAAAAAUACAUCAAAAUAAUAUAUAUUUUUUAUUUUUAAAAUUAAUUUUUGACAUCAAAACAAUGCAAAAACACCAAAAAAUUAAUUUGAAAAAAAAUUAAAAUUUUUGAAAACCUUGAUUAAAAUGUUGUACCAAACACCCUCUUAGUUUUAUCUUAUUUUUAAAAAAAUAAUUCUUAACAUUAGCAAUCAAAACAAUCUAAAAACAAAAAAAUAAUUUUAAAAAAAUCAAAAUCUUUAAAAACUCCCGUCUAAAUGUUUCCUUUUAGUUUUAUCAUUGUUGCACUGCGUAAUGAUGCUCAAAAGGAAAUAGUUGAUAUAGCCGUACUUGGGGUAUUUAAGAAUGUGAUAGCGGUUACUUUUUAAAAUGUUUUUCGUUUAGAAAUGUAUCAAAAUAAUAUUUUUUUAUUUUUAAAAAAUUAUUUUUGAUAUCACCAUAUCAAAAUGAUAUGAAAACACUAAAAAAAUAUUAAUUUAAAGUAAAAAAAAUAAAAAAAAUUAAUCUUUUAUUAAAAUAUUUUUGAAAUACAGAAAUACUACGAGCUCUCAACCUGCUACAAAUAACUGCUGCAAUGGCCUUUCUUUAAUAUUUUACUUACACCAUUCUGCAAAAUAUUUUCUUUUGUACAUCCAUGGAACCCUCUUUGCCUUCUACACAAAUUCAAAGUCCAUGCUAAAAACUACAAAGAAAUGAUCUCUACCUUUCCAAAAGUUAAAGGCUUUUGGUACUUUCCGUCCUUCUUGGGAACACUCAUCUCAGUUCAAGCAAUCCACUGAUAUAUUUGUCGUCAGCUUCCAAAAACGAAGGAAAUCUUUGGUUAAGUUAAAACUCCUUUUCUCCUUCAACAGUGAAAUUCACGUGCCUUUCACACCUUUUUAAGUUCGAACAUUUCAUUUGUUCUUGUGCUCUAAAUUGAGUCUUUUUUGUGAGUUCUAUUAUUCUACUGUGUUUGGUUUAGCUUUUGUAGUUGAGGUUGUGGUAGGGUACAUGUACAAAACUCAACCACAAAAGCUAAUUUUUCUUGUUUUUUAUGGCUUUUUUAGUGGGUUCCACACUCAACCUCAACCUCCAUCUCAAAUACAAACACACACUAAAAGAUUAGAAAACGCAAGAUUGCAUCAAUGCUAAAAGCAAUUUCAAUCUCAAUGUGUGUGUCAAAUGCAUGGUGAUGUUUCAUGAUAUGUUUGUUUUGACGUUUCAAAAAUAUUUUUUUUAAACUGAAUUUUUUUAAUUUAUUUUUCGCUUCAAAUUAAUAUUUUUUGUUUUUUCAGAUUAUUUUGAUGUACUGUUGUUAAAAAUAAUUUUUUUUAAAUAAAAAAUAUUAUUUUAAUACAUUUCCGAGCAAAAAUCACUUUAAAAAAUAAUUGUUAUUACACUUCCAAACACAUCUUUAAAAGGACAAAGUUAUGGAGUUGAGGGCUCUAAAUAUUCCUCAAAAUAUCUGGCCUCAAAGCUAUUAUCGAGUCUUAAAGCUUUUGCUUUUUAUAUUGUUUUGAUGUAAAAAAUAAAUUUUAAAAAUAAAAAAAUAUUAUUUUAAUAUAUUUUUAAAUAAAAAAAUAUUUUAAAAAACAAUUACAGUAAAAUAACAAAUAAAAUAUUAAUAUGAAAUAAAAUCUAAUUCUACCAGCAGACAGCUGAUAAGAAUACUAAAAGAGUGUAAAUUUUGACUUAAUUCAAUAUUUCAAUUAUUAGAAUUUGGGGCAGCGUAACAGUGUCAAAGAAAAUGUCAGAAAAGUAAGGAAAACAGUACAAAUACCUUGGAUGAUGGUGACCAAAUAUUUGUAAUUUGAGACAUCUCGUUCUUGAAAAGAAUAGUUAAUAGUGCCAAUAAUAUUUUUUUUUAUUCACGUGACGGGUGAGCUUGUGUGUAUCUCGAUUAAUUCCCACGAAUCCUGAAAUUAAUGAUCAGGUAAGUUUCCAGUGGUCAUCAAUAUUAACAACCAUAUGGCUCGAACCUGAGACCACAAGGAGGAGCAAACCUCUUGAUCUCAAACUCUUACUAUUAGACUGCCUAUUAGAUGGUUAGUGCUAAUAAUUAAUCUGCUCUUGACUUGCUACAAAUAGCUGUCAUGAUCACAUAUUCAAAAAACACUAGUUUAUAAAUUCUAAGGGUAUCUCAACUAGUUAGACUUUAAGUAUGUUUUCCAAUAAUUAUGAGUUCGAGUCCUUUUAAGAUAAUUGAAGGUUUACACGGCGUUAACUUCAGGACCCAUAAAAUUAAUCGAGAUAUAUACAAGUUGAUUCAGAUAACCAUAUUAAUUUAAAAAAACAAACACUAGUCUAGAAAAGCAAUAUACAAGGUGAUUUUUUAGUUGACUAGUUGAAUCUGAUUUUUAUAAAAAGUAAUAUUUUAGAAGAUAAUUUUUAAUAAUUUUAGAUUUUUUAAUAUAUAAAUAUCAAAAAUAAAUUUUAAAAAAUAAAAAAAUAUUAUUUUAAUAUAAUUUUAAAUAAAAAAACAUUUGAAAAAACAAUUAAUAGUAUACUCUCAACUACCCCAAAAUAUAGGAUUAAAUUGGAUUGCGGGUUCCCCACCAUUUAAAGCUUGCAAAGAAGGAUUUGAAACACAAUCACCCUAAAGAUUUGCAAAUGGAAUAUAAUAUAAAAUAAUACCCAAUUGCAUCAGCGGACAUGUAAUCAAUAAUAUUAAAAUACGGUAAAUUUUGAUUUAAUUCAAUUAUUGGAUUCUAGGCAGCGUGACAAUGUCAGAAAAUCUUGGAUGAUGGUGACCAAACAUAUCAGUAAUUUGAGACAACACGUUCCCGAAAGGUAAUAGUUGAUGGUGCCAAAAUUUAAACCAGCUCUCAACUCGCUACAAAUAGCUGCCAUGGCCUUUCAUUCUACCAUAUAUUUAUUUUUUAACUUUCAUGGAAUCCUCUUUGCCUUCCUCCCAAAUCUUGGAUUCUGAUGGAAGUGCUGAGAGGAAAAAUGAAGCUACAAAUUGCAAUGAAGUGAUGUCCACCCUUCCAAAAGUCAAAGGCUUGAGGGGGGAUGAUUAUUACCUGUACCAAGGCUUUUGGUACGAUGCCUUCUUCUUGGAAGGACUCAUGUCUGUUCAAGAGCACUUCAAUCCUCAAUCCACUGAUAUAUUUGUCGCCAGUUUUCCAAAAACUGGCACAACUUGGCUUAAGGCCCUCACUUUUGCUAUUUUUACACGAUCCCGUUUAAGUGGUUCAACAACUAGUUCUUUACUUACCAAGAUGCCACAUGACUGUGUUCCUUUGUUGGAAAAUGACCUUGCUAAAAACCCCAGUAAUCGGGACUUGGCAAUUCCUCUGCUAUCUACUCAUGUUCCUUACAGUUGUUUACCUAAAUCUAUCAUUUCUUCUAGUUGCAAGAUUAUUUACAUUUGCAGGGACGCAAAGGAUGCUUUUGUUUCUUUGUGGUACUUUCAUGCCACGCUGCAAAGGUCGAAAAAUGUUGAGCAUCUUCCUCUGGAAGAGGCUUUUGAGCUGUUCUGCAAUGGAAUUGCAAAUUUUGGACCAUACUGGAACCAUGUUUUAGGGUAUUGGAGAGCAAGCUUGGAGUUCCCUGAGAAGAUAUUGUUCUUGACAUAGGAGGAAAUGAAGAAAGACACAGCUGCUCAUGUUAAGAAAGUAGCUGAGUUCAUGGGUUGUUCUUUCACCUUAGAGGAAGAGGAGGGAGGGGAGGUGCAAAAGAUAAAAAGCAUGUGUAGUUUUGAGAAGUUGAGCAACUUGGAGGUGAAUAAAAAUGGGAAGCACCGUCCGGACACAUCAAUUGCUAUUCAAAACAGUGUAUACUUCAGGAGAGGUGAGAUAGGCGACUGGGCAAAUCACUUGACACCUGAAAUGGGAGCACGUCUAGAUGACAUAAUGGAGCAGAAACUCAAGGGUUCAGGCUUGACGCUGCCCAGGUGACUGUGCCUGGGCCCCGUUUGCUUAUGAUUAUUGGCUCAGUGGGUUCAUCAAAAGCUGUUAUCAACAUCUCGUGAAACAGCAACUGUGUAUCCCAAUAAAUACCCUCUCUGUUCAUCUCUUGUAUUUCCUAGCAAGUAUUCACAUUUUGUGAAUCAUUCCAUGUCAAUAAGCAAUGUUCUUUUGUGAAUCUGUGUUUGUGACUUUCAUUGAUUUCCUUGCAUGCUUGUAAGAAUUCAAAAUGGGAUUCGUUUUUUUUAUUUAUUUAUUUAACACAAGUGCAUGCAUUCCAUUAAUCAGUUUGAUAAACAAAAAAUUACUCUAAUAUAUAAUAUUAGAGUGUUUUCUUCACAGAAAUUGCAGUGUGUUUUCUUCACAGUUAUACAUGUUUUAAAAGAACCGAGACAACCAUACAUGAGGGCGGAGCAAUGACCAACCGAGACAACCAUCCAUUAAGAUUGUUGAAAUGCAGAUCAAAUGAACGUAGGCGGCUCAUCUGCUGAGAGGAUCUCGAAAUGCCUUGUAAUUGGUUAAAAUAAAGAUCAAGAACUGUACGAGAACUCGUGUUUUCCACUCCUAAAAUAAGCCCAGUUGCCGGCUUCAUGUGCAACAGAGGCACAUAGAGAAUCUGAAAGCAGUUUUUAUGCACUAUCAGCAGAAGCUGAGAAUGAGAAAGCACAAACUCUUUAAGAGAAGAUAUUCUCCGGCAAUGGCAUCAAACAGAAAAGCCCGAUGUCAACUAAGUACGUGUUUGGCGUUGCUGCUACGUUUAUAGAAAAACACCGUUGUCAUGUGUUUGGUUACUGUCUAAAUACAAUUUUUUGUUUGUGGGAGCCAUUACCUUUUGCAUUUAAACCGCAAGAUAACCAGAAGCAACUUCAAGCUGCCUUUUGUGUUGAGUUGCAAACUGUGUUAUAAACAGAGGCCACAAGAAAAAGAGCAGAAACAGAGCAAUGAAUAGUGAACAGUGGAGAGCAGCUCGCUUUCACCACCGGCCUCCGCCGGCCACUGCUCUUCCUCUUCUCCUUCUCUUUCAUCUUCUGCAUUCUCCACUGUUCACAUGAACAGCGAAGAGUGGAGAGCAGCUCACCACCGACCCCUGCUAUUUCCACCGCCAGCCACUGCUCUUCCUCUUCCCCUUCUCCUUCGUCUUUUACGUUCUCCACUGUUAAUUUGAACAGUGAAGAGCAACUCACCACCGGUCUCCGCUGUUUCCACCGCUAGCCACUGCUUGUCCUCUUUCCCUUCUCCUUCUCCUUCAUCUUCUGCAUUCUCUACUGUUCAUGGCCGGACCGGGGCCGGACCGGGUCCGGCCCAAACCUAAAUGUAUUGGACUGGGUCUGACCUAGUAAAAUAAAAAAAAUCAAAAACAAUUUCUUAAAUUUGAAAAACUAGUGUUUAAAAUUAUUCAAUGACACUACAUAAUUAUAUUAGAAGGAGAUUGGAUGAUCACGUAGCAUGUGCAGAAUUUGAUUGCAAUCUCAAUUUUUUUUCCUAAUGAUAUUUUACCUGAUGUGAUGAUAUUUUAUCUGAUGUUGGUGCACGUUCAGAAAGCUAUGGAAACUGUAAUCCUUGUCGAAUGGAUUUCGUACAUGAUUGAAUUGCAAAUAGUUUAAUGGAACAAUAAAAAAUACUUUAUAUAAAGUAUUGUUUAUUCAUGAUGUAAAAACAGUAGUUAAAUCUAUAAUAUUUCAAUUAAAAACCAUCAAUAUUAAUAUAUGUCUUUUUUAGUUAUUUUAUAACCUCAAUUUGAAAAGCAUUCUUAACCAAACAUAUUAAAUUACUUUUUGUUCAACCUCAAUUUCAACUACAGUUUUAACCAAACAUAUAUUUUUCCAAACUAACCUCAACUAAAAAUGCUUUUUAUAAAACAACCUUUUUCAAACCACAACCACAACAACUACCACAAUACCAAACACACAUAAGUUCAAAUAGGAAUGAAUUUAUUAUCAGGGAUGAUGACUCAAUUUAGAAUAAGUAAAUCACAAGAAGACUUCGAUAUACAAAAGAAACUGUACUGAUAAGCAAGUUAAAGUGCCACCAUUGAUUUAGGAUCUGCUUUAGAUCUUAUAAGGUGAAAGUAAAACACAAGGAAAUGCAUGCAUGCACACCACUAAUCUUUGAUUCUGGCGAGAACAGUGAUGACAACCAUAUAGAAUUACAUUCCAAGAUGAAGAAAUUAAUAACAGAGCAGUGCUGUAAAGCUAAAUGUGAGAACCAGAGAUUAAUAUUAAGCAAUGCUGAAAAUUUUAUCAUGCAUAAGAUGAGAGAAGCACAGGACAGAUUUUUCCCACAAUUGAAUACGUGAAUUGAGCACAGAUUUCCCAGUUGCAAACUGUUCCUAAUUUCUCAAAUGAUUAUCUAGAAUACGAGCUGCACUUAAAUUUUAAAGCAACAUAUAAGCUCUUGAUUUUUUGUGAAUUGCUGAAAGAUGAAACAAACAUACAAGCUCACACCUCUACAACAGAGUGACAGUUCAUGGUGACCUCAAAGACAGCAUCAAGUCCUCCAAGCUCUCGUAACUUUUCCUUAAAAUAUAAAAACAAAACAAACAGGCUAGGAGCUCUCAACCCUGCUACAACUAACUGCUGCAAUGGUCUUUCUUUAAUAUUUUACUUACACCAUCCUGCACAAUAUUUUCUUUUGUACAUCCAUGGAACCCUCUUUGCCUUCUACACAAAUUCAAAGCCCAUGCUAAAAACUACAAAGAAAUGAUCUCUACCUUUUGGGAAGACUCAUCUCAGUUCAAGCAAUCCACUGAUAUAUUUGUCGUCAGCUUCCAAAAACGAAGGAAAUCUUUGGUUUAUGUUCUCUAAUAACUCCUUUUCUCCUUCAACAGUGAAAUUUACGUGCCUUUCACACCUUUUUACGUUCGAACAUUUCAUUUGUUCUUGUGCUCUAAAUUGAGUCUUUUUUGUGAGUUCCAUUAUUCUAUUUAAAAGAUUAGAAAACGCAAGAUUGCAUCAAUGCUAAAUGUAAUUUCAAUCUCAAUGUGUGUGUCAAAUGCAUGGCGAUGUUCCAUGAUGUGGUGUUUCAAAAAUAUUUUUUAAAAAAUUGAAUUUUUUUUUAUUUAUUUUUUUCUUUAAAUUAAUAUUUUUUUGGUUUUUUUGGAUUAUUUUGAUGUACUGUUAUCAAAAAUAAUUUUUUUUAAAUAAAAAAAUAUUAUUUUAGUACAUUUCCGAGAAAAAACACUUGGAAAAAUAAGUGCUACUACACUUCCAAACACACUCUUAAAAUGACAAAGUUAUAGAGUUGAGGGCUCUAAAUAUUCCUCAAAAUAUCCAGUUUUAAGGUCUCGGAGCUAUUAUCGAGUCUUAAAGUUUUUGUAUUUUAAAAAUACUUUUAAAAAUUGAUUUUUUUUAAUAUUUUUUACAAUAACAAAUAAAAUAUUAAUAUGAAAUAAAAUCUAACUCUACCAGCAGACAGCUGAUAAGAAUACUAAAAAAGUGUAAAUUUUGACUUAAUUCAAUUAUUAGAAUUUGGGGCAGCGUAACAGUGUCAAAGAAAAUGUCAGAAAAGUAGGGCAAACAGUACAAAUACCUUGGAUGAUGGUGACCAAAUAUUUGUAAUUUGAGACAUCUCGUUCUUGAAAAGAAAAGUUAAUAGUGUCAAUAAAUUUUUUUUUUUAUUUAUGGGAAGGUAUCGGGUCAGCUUGUAUGUACCUCGAUUAACCCUCACGGAUUCUGAAGUUAAAGACCAGAUAAGCCUCUAGUGAUCAUCAAUAUUAACAACCACAUGACUCGAACCUGAGAUCUCAGGGGAAGCAAACCUCUUGAUCUCAAAAUCUUACUAUUGAACCACCGACUAGAUGGUUAGUGCUAAUAAUUAAUCUGCUCUCAACUUGCUACAAAUAGCUGCCAUGAUUACAUAUUCAAGAAACACUAGUUUAUAAACCCUGAGGGUAACUCAACUAGUUAGACUUUGAGUAUGUUUCUCAAUAAUCAUGAGUUCGAGUUCUUUUAGGGAAACUGGAUGAUUACAUGGUCGUUAACUUCAGAACCCGUGAAAUUAAUCGAGGUACAUACAAGUUGGUUCAGAUACCCACAUUAAUUAAAAUAAAAAAAGAAACACUAGUCUAGAAAAGCCAUCUACAAGGUGAUUUUUUAGGUGACUAGUUGAAUUUUUUUAUAUAAAAAAUAAUAUUUUAGAAGAUAAUUUUUAAUAAUUUUAGAUUUUUUUAUGUAUAAAUAUCAAAAAUAAAUUUUAAAAAAUAACAACAUAUUAUUUUAAUAUAAUUUUAAAUAAAAAAACAUUUGAAAAAAAAAUUAAUAGUAUACUCUCAACCACCCCAAAAUAUAGGAUUAAAUUGGAUUGCGGGUUCCACACCAUUUAAAGCUUGCAAAAAAGGAUUUGAAACACAAAUCACACUAAAGAUUUGCAAUGGAAUAUAAUAUAAAAUAAUACCCAAUUGCAUCAGCGGACAUGUCAUCAAUAAUAUUAAAAUACGGUAAAUAAUAUGAAAUAAUACCCAAUUGCAUCAGCGGACAUGUAAUCAAUAAUAUUAAAAUACUGUAAAUUUUGAUUUAAUUCAAUUAUUGGAUUCUAGCCAGCGUGACAAUGUCAGAAAAUCUUGGAUGAUGGUGCCAAAUAUACCAGUAAUUUGAGACAACACGUUCCCGAAAGGUAAUAGUUGAUGGUGCCAAAAAGUAAACCAGCUCUCAACUCGCUACAAAUAGCUGCCAUGGCCUUUCAUUUUACCUUAUAUUUCUUUGUUAACUUUCAUGGAAUCCUCUUUGCCUUCCUCCCAAAUCUUGGAUUUUGAUGGAAGUGCUGAGAGGAAAAAUGAAGCUAAAAAUUACAAUGAAGUGAUGUCCACCCUUCCAAAAGUUAAAGGCUUGAGGGGGGAUGAUUAUUACCUGUACCAAGGCUUUUGGUACGCUCCCUUCUUCUUGGAAGGACUCAUGUCUGUUCAAGAGCACUUCAAUCCUCAAUCCACUGAUAUAUUUGUCGCCAGUUUUCCAAAAACUGGCACAACUUGGCUUAAGGCCCUCACUUUUGCUAUUUUUACACGAUCCCGUUUAAGUGGUUCAACAACUAGUUCUUUACUUACCAAGAUGCCACAUGACUGUGUUCCUUUUUUGAAAUAUAAC